UACGUAGGGUGCAAGCGUUAAUCGGAAUUACUGGGCGUAAAGCGUGCGCAGGCGGUUAUGUAAGACAGAUGUGAAAUCCCCGGGCUCAACCUGGGAACUGCAUUUGUGACUGCAUAGCUAGAGUACGGUAGAGGGGGAUGGAAUUCCGCGUGUAGCAGUGAAAUGCGUAGAUAUGCGGAGGAACACCGAUGGCGAAGGCAAUCCCCUGGACCUGUACUGACGCUCAUG
rnacentral:rRNA from 1 species